CCAGUACCGAGGGAGCGCCACACUGUCGGUGUGUCAAUGCUGAGGGAGCGCCGCACUGAAAAACAGUGUGUGUCUGUGGUUUGGGUCGUUCCGGAGGUUAAGCUAGUGUGUAAAAUGAUGAAGAUUUCUCCGGUACAGUUAGUGCAACAUGGUCUCUCGGGCUGGUUUUCUUUUCUGUUUGGAUUCAGUUGCUUAUUUGUUGUUUUUGUUUUGCAGUUUCUUUUGGAUUGUUCAUUCUUGUGUUCCAUCCUGACGCCUUUGUUUGAUGAUCAGAUCUUCUGUCCCCUGCAUGUUCCCAUGGUUGUGCAACGUGAAAGCACUGUGGGAGUGUUUCAGCAGCAGCAGUGCUUUUCGUUGGUUCAGUCAGUUUUACUGGACAGAGCCCUCUCUGAACCACAGCAGGACCUGCCUUCCAGCACACUGUCAGGUUAACAUCCAUCAGCUGGAGAGAGUGGUACCUCUCAGGCCAGUACCAUCAGCCCUGAGAUGACAUUCAGUGAGAUGAUGAGAAUAUGAAUCUUCAGCUAAGCACCAGCUCCUGAUUAGCUCCAUCGCUGACCUGUGACACAUACCAGGGGGCACCGCUGGGGUUCAGCCUCGGGCAGUCGCAGGAUUCCGAGGAACUGUUCGCUACGCAUCUGUCAAUGCUCACAAAAACCGAG